GGCCGCUGCCGAUCGCGGGAGGGUCUCUCCUCAGAGUCGGGUUGCUUGAGAGUGCAGCCCUAAGUGGGUGGUAAACUCCAUCUAAGGCUAAAUAUGACCACGAGACCGAUAGCGAACAAGUACCGUGAGGGAAAGUUGAAAAGCACUUUGAAGAGAGAGUUCAAGAGUACGUGAAACCGUUCAGGGGUAAACCUGAGAAACCCGAAAGGUCGAAAGGGGAAAUUCAUUCGCGUUUCGGCUAUCGGCGAUGAGCGGUCGUGUGACGGAUGGCGUUCGCGUCGUCCGCACCUUCUGUUUUUCGAACCGGUGUCGAACGCGUGCACUUUUCCUCUAGUAGGACGUCGCGAUCCGUUGGGUGUCGGUCUACGGCUCGCGGUGGAGUCCGUGUACGAUCGUUUCGGCGAUUCGUGCUCGAACCCGCGGUGUCCCGGCCGACUCGCUCGACGGUAUACAGAUGGCGCGAGGCCGCUA
rnacentral:rRNA from 1 species